AGAUCUUAUUGCAUUGCAAAAUCUCUAGAGAAGAAGAGCAGCAGUUGGGGUUAUUACUUUGUUACAAAUGGAAGACCCUGAACUUUGAGAGUUAUUGUAUUAUUCUGCCAUUUAAGUCAAAAUAAUACUACUUUGAUUUUAUAGAACACCUUAUCAACAUGAAAUAAGCCUUGUAACAUCCAUGCUGAGUGCAGAGCCUGGUUAUCCAUCUAUGGACAUCUGCACAGCAAGGUUUAAACUUGUGUAACCUACUGGCAAUGCUUUCAAGCUUAUGUGAUAGAAUACCUAACAUCAUAGCUACCAAGAAUGCACUGAAACUUUGCUACUCCUAUAAAGGUUUCCGAAAGUGGAUACUUCACUGAAUAUGUAUAGUUCAGAUGAAACAGCAUAUUAAGAGCUCUGUCCAAGAAAUAGGCUACCUGCUGGCCACAACUAGAGGUCGCUGGACUCGGCAGAGCCCAGCUUGCAAGUAGAAGACAGGGGAGGGGGAGGGAGCUGGAGUGUUCCCAGCAGCAGCAGCGUACCCAGCAUGCCCUGAAGGAAGAAGGCAGCAUGCAGGAAACUCCACACAAGCAACAGGAACCCAGCAUCACACUAUUUCUCCAUCUGGAUCCUGGGCUCCAGUGUUCCC